rnacentral:rRNA from 1 species
CAGCCAGGAUGUUGGCUUUAGAAGCAGCCAUCAUUUAAAGAAAGCGUAAUAGCUCACUGGUCGAGUCGGCCUGCGCGGAAGAUGUAACGGGGCUAAGCUAUACACCGAAGCUGCGGCUACGUACCUUAGGGUAUGUGGGGUAGGGGAGCGUUCUGUAAGCCGUUGAAGGUGGUCUGUAAGGGCUGCUGGAGGUAUCAGAAGUGCGAAUGCUGACAUGAGUAACGAUAAAGGGAGUGAAAAACUCCCUCGCCGGAAGACCAAGGGUUCCUGUCCAACGUUAAUCGGGGCAGGGUAAGUCGACUCCUAAGGCGAGGCCGAAAGGCGUAGUCGAUGGGAAACGGGUUAAUAUUCCCGUACUUCUUACAAUUGCGAUGGGGGGACGGAGAAGGCUAGGUGGGCCUGGCGACGGUUGUCCAGGUUCAAGUAUGUAGGCGGAAAGUUUAGGUAAAUCCGGACUUUCAUUAACGCUGAGAUACGAUGUCGAGCUACUACGGUAGUGAAGUCAUUGAUGCCAUGCUUCCAGGAAAAGCCUCUAAGCUUCAGAUUGUAAGGAAUCGUACCCCAAACCGACACAGGUGGUCGGGUAGAGAAUACCAAGGCGCUUGAGAGAACUCGGGUGAAGGAACUAGGCAAAAUGGUACCGUAACUUCGGGAGAAGGUACGCUCUUAUCAGUGAAGUCCCUUGCGGAUGGAGCAGACGAGAGUCGCAGAUACCAGGUGGCUGCAACUGUUUAUUAAAAACACAGCACUGUGCAAAAUCGUAAGAUGACGUAUACGGUGUGACGCCUGCCCGGUGCCGGAAGGUUAAUUGAUGGGGUUAGACUUCGGUCGAAGCUCUUGAUCGAAGCCCCGGUAAACGGCGGCCGUAACUAUAACGGUCCUAAGGUAGCGAAAUUCCUUGUCGGGUAAGUUCCGACCUGCACGAAUGGCGUAAUGAUGGCCACGCUGUCUCCACCCGAGACUCAGUGAAAUUGAAAUCGCUGUGAAGAUGCAGUGUACCCGCGGCUAGACGGAAAGACCCCGUGAACCUUUACUACAGCUUGGCACUGAACAUUGAACCUACAUGUGUAGGAUAGGUGGGAGACUUUGAAACCGCGUCGCUAGAUGUGGUGGAGUCGUCCUUGAAAUACCACCCUUGUAGUUUUGAUGUUCUAACGUUGGUCCCUGAAUCGGGAUUACGGACAGUGCCUGGUGGGUAGUUUGACUGGGGCGGUCUCCUCCCAAAGAGUAACGGAGGAGCACGAAGGUGGGCUAAACACGGUUGGACAUCGUGUGGUUAGUGCAAUGGCAUAAGCCCGCUUGACUGCGAGAAUGACAAUUCGAGCAGGUGCGAAAGCAGGUCAUAGUGAUCCGGUGGUUCUGAAUGGAAGGGCCAUCGCUCAACGGAUAAAAGGUACUCCGGGGAUAACAGGCUGAUACCGCCCAAGAGUUCAUAUCGACGGCGGUGUUUGGCACCUCGAUGUCGGCUCAUCACAUCCUGGGGCUGAAGUCGGUCCCAAGGGUAUGGCUGUUCGCCAUUUAAAGUGGUACGCGAGCUGGGUUUAGAACGUCGUGAGACAGUUCGGUCCCUAUCUGCCGUGGGCGUUGGAAAAUUGAAAGGGGCUGCUCCUAGUACGAGAGGACCGGAGUGGACGAACCUCUGGUGUUCGGGUUGUCAUGCCAAUGGCAUUGCCCGGUAGCUAAGUUCGGAAUCGAUAACCGCUGAAAGCAUCUAAGCGGGAAGCGAGCCUUGAGAUGAGUUUUCCCUGGCACUAUAAGUGUCCUAAAGGGUUGUCGUAGACUACGACGUUGAUAGGCAGGGUGUGUAAGUGCUGCGAGGCAUUGAGCUAACCUGUACUAAUUGCCCGUGAGGCUUAACCUUACAACACCCAAGGGGUUU